UACGUAGGGGGCAAGCGUUGUCCGGAAUCAUUGGGCGUAAAGCGCGUGUAGGCGGUUCAGUAAGUCUGCUGUGAAAGUCCAGGGCUCAACCCUGGGAUGCCGGUGGAUACUGCUGGGCUAGAGUACGGAAGAGGCGAGUGGAAUUCCCGGUGUAGCGGUGAAAUGCGCAGAUAUCGGGAGGAACACCAAUUGCGAAGGCAGCUCGCUGGGACGUUACUGACGCUGAGACGCGAAAGCGUGGGGAGCAACAGGG
rnacentral:rRNA from 1 species